rnacentral:tRNA from 1 species
GGGGGAUUAGCUCAGUUGGCUAGAGUACUUGCCUGGCAGGCAAGGGGUCACCGGUUCGAAUCCGGUAUCCUCCA